rnacentral:misc_RNA from 1 species
UAAUCAUAUGAGGGCCAAAUCUAAAUCAGGAAUUAUCACUCGGUCAAAUAACCAUAAUACAUGUCUCUCUAAUUCUCCUGAACGCCUUAUUUGAGGCUGGCAGCCGAUGAAAAUAGCUUGCAAAAAUCCAUAAAACAUGACAUCUAGGGAUUAAAACCCCUAGCAAAACAUGCAAAACUGAGCUGGUACAAUACCUUAAAACCAAAGACUCUAACUCGCAUUGGCGAAGUCGAUCCCCUUCUGGAUUGAAGCCUUGAGCUCGGACUUAAGAGCUUCUAAACCCUGCUUCUCAAAGUCGGAGAGGGUACCCAAACCAAGAACCUCCUCUACACCAUUCUUCCCCAGCCUCACCUUGGAGGCAAAGAAAGGUAGCUCAGUAAUGCUUGAUUGCACAAAAGCACAUUCCACAAUAUCAGGAGCCCCAUUAAGGCCCUUCAAACAUGAAUCUGCAAAGAUGGCACCAGCAUAGGCCAUAGACAAGGUGGCAGAUCCUUUCCCAGCUUUUGCUUCAACCACUUCAGUCCCGCCGUCUUGUGUUCUCUUUGUAAGAGCUUUUAUCACCUCAUCGGACAAAUUGCUUGCUGGAGUUGCCUGAGAAAAGAGUGGCAAAAUGGUUAUACCAGCAUGCCCACCAACAACAGGGACAUUUACAUCAGCAACUGGGACGUUCGCUUUCCCAGCAUAGAAAGUCUUUGCCCGAACAACAUCAAGCAUGGUCACACCAAACAGCUUCUUCUCAUCAUAAGUCCCCGCCUUCUUGAACACCUCUGCCGCGAUUGGCACAGUUGAGUUCACAGGGUUGCUUAUCAUGUUAACCAGAGCAUUGGGGCAGUACUUGGCUAUGGCAGUACACAGUCCCUUCACAAUCCCGGCAUUGAUAUUAAACAGGUCGUCCCGGGUCAUCCCAGGCUUGCGAGGCACCCCGGCCGGGAUGAUGACAAUGUCAGAGCCAUCCAAAGCCUCCCCAAGCUGCUCCUCCGUCAUGUAGCCUUUCACCUCGGCGCGGGUGUUGAUGUGGCUGACAUCGGCGGCGACGCCAGGGGUUCCGGCGAUAUCGUAGAGGGAGAGGUGGGAGACGAGGGGAUUGAGCUUCAUGAGGAGGGAGAGCGGCUGGCCGAUGCCGCCGGCGGCGCCGAGCACAGCUACCUUGCGGGACGGUGGAUCGGAGUGGAAGGAUCGGCGAGCGAGGUGGGCAGAGGGGCGCUCGACGGCGCGGCGGAGCGCGGAUCCGGCCGAUCUGAGCAUGAUGAGAGCUUCGAUGGGAUCGAGAUCGGAG